rnacentral:rRNA from 1 species
AGCAGCCGCGGUAAUUCCAGCUCCAAUAGCGUAUAUUAAAGUUGUUGCAGUUAAAAAGCUCGUAGUUGAAUUUCGAGAUCAGUACGCUGGUCGUGCCUUCGGUAUGUACUGGUGUCACUGGUUUCUCCCUUCUGAAGAACCGUUAUGUCAUUAAGUUGGUGUGGCGGGGAAUCAGGACUGUUACUUUGAAAAAAUUAGAGUGUUUAAAGCAGGCUCGCGCUUGAAUACAUUAGCAUGGAAUAAUGAAAUAGGACGUUUGACCCUAUUUUGUUGGUUUCUAGGAUCGACGUAAUGAUUAAUAGGGAUAGUUGGGGGCAUUAGUAUUCAAUUGUCAGAGGUGAAAUUCUUGGAUUUAUUGAAGACUAACUACUGCGAAAGCAUUUGCCAAGGAUGUUUUCAUUAAUCAAGAACGAAAGUUAGGGGAUCGAAGACGAUCAGAUACCGUCGUAGUCUUAACCAUAAACUAUGCCGACUAGGGAUCGGAUGAUGUUAAUUUUUUAAUGACUCAUUCGGCGCCUUACG